rnacentral:tRNA from 1 species
AGGGGUAUAGCUCAGUGGUAGAGCAUUUGACUGCAAUUCUAAUUCAGAUUUUCUGUAUUUCUU